rnacentral:rRNA from 1 species
UCAAGCGAAUAAGGGUCCAUGGUGGAUGCCUUGGAGCUGUCCGGCGAUGAAGGGCGUGGCAAGCUGCGAAAAGCCUCGGUGAGGAGCAAACAUCCGUUGAACCGGGGAUACCCGAAUGGGGUAACCCAUGCACCCAUGAUGGUGCAUAUCAUGUAGUGAAUACAUAGCUAUAUGAAGCGAGACCUGGGGAACUGAACCAUCUAAGUACCCAGAGGAAAAGAAAUCAAUUGAGAUUCCCUUAGUAGCGGCGAGCGGACGGGGAAUAGCCCAAACCAGUAUUGUUACGGCGAUAUUGGGGUUGUAGGGCGCGAGAUGUGGAAUGUCUAGGGAUAAAAGAACGGUACUGGGAAGGCCGGCCAAAGAGGGUGAUAGCCCCGUAAUUGAAAUCCUGAUGACUCCUAUUGCGUACCUGAGUACGGCGGGACACGAGAAACCCUGUCGGAAUCUGGGGGGACCACCCUCCAAGGCUAAAUACGAGACAGCUACCGAUAGCGAACGAGUACCGUGAGGGAAGUGGUGAAAAGCACCCCGGGAGGGGAGUGAAAUAGAACCUGAAACCGUGGACCUACAAGUGGUCGGAGUUGGACUUCGGUCUGAUGACGGCGUGCCUUUUGUAGAAUGAGCCUGCGAGUUACCAUAUCAUGCGAGGUUAAGGUACUGUAGUACCGGAGCCGGAGGGAAACCGAGUCUUAACUGGGCGAAUGAGUAUGGUGUGGUAGACCCGAAGCCGAGUGAUCUACCUAUGAUCAGGCUGAAGCUCCGGUAACACGGAGUGGAGGGCCGAACACUAGUCUGUUGAAAAAGGCAGUGAUGAAUUGUGGGUAGGAGUGAAAGGCUAAACAAACUCGGAGAUAGCUGGUUCUCCCCGAAAUGGCUUUAGGGUCAGCGUCAUAUGAUCAAUGCCGGAGGUAGAGCACUGAUUAGGCUAGGGCCUGUCACAGGGUACCAAACUUAGUCAAACUCCGAAUGCCGGUAUUUAAAGUAUGGCAGUGAGACUGUGGGUGAUAAGAUUCAUGGUCGAAAGGGAAACAGCCCAGACCGUCAGCUAAGGUCCCUAAACUAUGCUAAGUGGAAAAGGAAGUAUGAUUGCCCAGACAGCCAGGAGGUUGGCUUAGAAGCAGCCACUCCUUGAAAGAGUGCGUAAUAGCUCACUGGUCGAGUAGUCAUGCGCCGACAAUUUAACGGGGCUAAGCAUAGUACCGAAGCUACGGCAUUGUCAUUUAUGACAGUGGGUAGGGGAGCAUUCUGUAAGCCGACGAAGGUGAUCCGGGAGGAUUGCUGGAGGUAUCAGAAGUGAGAAUGCAGGCAUGAGUAACGAAAAGGCAGGUGAGAUCCCUGCCCGCCGAAAGCCGAAGGUUUCCUGGGUAAAGUUUGUCUUCCCAGGGUUAGUCGGUCCCUAAGGCGAGGCCGAAAGGCGUAGUCGAUGGGAAACAGGUUAAUAUUCCUGUACAUCUAGUAAUUUCGAUGGAGUGACGCAUAGGGGGAAGUCCUGCCGGGUGUUGGUUAUCCCGGUUUAAGCAGUAAGGCGUUGAAGAGUGCAGGUAAAUCCGCACUUUGAGUUGAGCUGCCAAGAGUAGUGAUCCUACGGGUGAUCGAAGAGGGUGGACUCGUCGUGCCAAGAAAUAGCUUCUAAGGUUAGGUUACUAGGUACCGUACCGCAAACCGACACAGGUAGGCGAGCUGAGAAUGCUAAGGCGUACGGAAGAACUCACGUUAAGGAACUCGGCAAAUUACAUACGUAACUUAGGGAGAAGUAUGGCCUACUCAGGGAUGAGAGGUUGCAGAGACCAGGCCCGAGCGACUGUUUACCAAAAACACAGGUCACUGCGAACCAGCAAUGGGAAGUAUAGUGACUGACACCUGCCCGGUGCUGGAAGGUUAAGAGGAGCUGUUAUUCCUUGAGAAGAAGCAGUGAAUUGAAGCCCCAGUAAACGGCGGCCGUAACUAUAACGGUCCUAAGGUAGCGAAAUUCCUUGUCGGGUAAGUUCCGACCCGCACGAAUGGUGUAACGAUUUG